rnacentral:rRNA from 1 species
AAACGACCUCAGUUCGGGCGAGAUAACCCGCUAAACUUAAGCAUAUCACUAAGCGGAGGAAAAGAAACUAACCAGGAUUCCCUUAGUAGCGGCGAGCGAACAGGGAAGAGCCCAGCGCCGAAUCCCACGGUCCGCAAGGUCCGAUCGGGAAAUGUGGCGUUAAGGAGGAUCCGCAACUCCCGUCGUCGCGCGCGACUUGUCCAAGUCCUUCUUGAAAGAGGCCCGUUCGACCCGAAGAGGGUGCCAGGCCCGUAUGACAGUCGCCCGGCGAAGGGUCGGAUCUCUCCCUAGAGUCGGGUUGCUCGAGAUUGCAGCCCUAAGCAGGUGGUAAACUCCAUCUAAGGCUAAAUAUCACCACGAGUCCGAUAGCGAACAAGUACCGCGAGGGAAAGUUGAAAAGAACUUUGAAGAGAGAGUUCAAGAGUACGUGAAACCGUUCGGGGGUGAACCCGAGAAACCCGAAAUGUCGAAGGUCGAGAUACAGCGUUCGUCCGCCCAUCUGUGGCGGGGCGGGCGGCGUGCAUUUCUCGACCGGUAGGACGUCGCGACCCGUUGGAGUGAGGUCGACGUCAAACGCGCGAGAGCGCGGGGGCGCGCUCGGGAAGCUCGGCCCGACGAGGCGGCGCGUCGCUUUACUGCGGCGCCCCGCGACAGUCGGUCGAACCCGCGGCGUCGCCCUUCGGCGUUCGGCACGUCCGACGCGGACAAAAACUGAAAGUUGACUAUCGGCGGAGCGCUUGUGGCGCGCCCGACCCGUUCGCGUUCGCGACGCGUCGUCCGGUAUCGGCAGCAUCGGCGGUCCUCACGGGCCGUCGACUCCGAGAAAGGCGCGCUCCGACGCGACGGUGCUCUCGGGCUCAAUAGCACCGCUAAACGUCUGCGACGCUAUAGCUUUGGGUACUCUCGGGACCCGUCUUGAAACACGGACCAAGGAGUCCAACGCGGGCGCGAGCCACUGGGAAAAGGGGACGCCGGCACCGUCCGGCCCCCGUUCACCUAAACCCCAAAGGCGAAGCGAAAGCGAAGGGACGGAAGGGAACGCCGCAAGGCGAACCCCGACGUUCCCGUUGGGAAGAUGGGCGACGCGAAAAUCGUCGCCCCGCAUUCCCGGGGCGUCUCGCCGGGACGACACAUCGAGGGCGGCGCGCUCGCGCGCGCCGUUCCCGUAGAGCCGUCCGAGACGCACCUCCAGCGCCCGCGCUGGGACCCGAAAGAUGGUGAACUAUGCCUGGUCAGGACGAAGUCAGGGGAAACCCUGAUGGAGGUCCGCAGCGAUUCUGACGUGCAAAUCGAUCGUCAGAACUGGGUAUAGGGGCGAAAGACCAAUCGAACCAUCUAGUAGCUGGUUCCCUUCGAAGUUUCCCUCAGGAUAGCCGAGGCUCGUCGAUAUUAUUUUUUAUAAAAGAGAGAGUCUCAUGCGGUAAAGCGAAUGAUUAGAGUGAUUCGGGGUCGAAACGACCUCUACCUAUUCUCAAACUUUAAAUGUGUGAGAUCGGCGGCUUGCCCGAGCGACGAAGCCGCGCGAUCGGAUCUAGAGCCUCGAGUGGGCCAAUUUUGGUAAGCAGAACUGGCGCUGUGGGAUGAACCAAACGUUAAGUUAAAGCGCCCAAAUCGACGCUCAUGGGAGACCAUGAAAGGCGUUGUUAACUCAGGACAGCAGGACGGUGACCAUGGAAGUCGGAAUCCGCUAAGGAGUGUGUAACAACUCACCUGCCGAAGUUAACAGCCCUGAAAAUGGAUGGCGCUUAAGCGUCGUGCUUAUACUUGGCCGUCGUGGCAAAGUGGCGCGAGCGCACCCAGAGUGCGCGCUGCCACACGAGGCCCCGACGAGUAGGAGGGUCGCGACGGUGAGCGCAGAAGGAUCGGGCGUGAGCCCGUCUGGAGCCGCCGUCGGCGCAGAUCUUGGUGGUAGUAGCAAAUACUUCAGCGAGCACCUGGAGGACUGAGGUGGAGAAGGGUUUCGUGUGAACAGCAGUUGCACACGAGUCAGUCGAUCCUAAGCCCUAGGCUAACGCCGAAGACGAUGGGGCGCAGCCUUAAUGUACGUUGCGUCAUGUCGUGUCUGUCGUAGCGGACGGCCGGCAAGCGGCCGACUCCCGUCACGAUUGAGGGGCGUCAAGCGACGGCGGCGCGAGGAGCGCGGAGAGCGAUUGCCGGGCAGCCGAGAGAGUGGCGAUCCGGGACGAUGGGCGAGAGAGAAUAACGUCGCUUAGGAGAGGUAGCGAGUUGCGAAAAGAGUAGGUCCGCUCACGGGGCGGUUGUGAAAAGUGCGUGUCGAUGUGUAGUAGUCGCGGUCAAAGCUUGCAGUCGAUUUCCCGCUGCACGCCGCGGCGAGGCACGCGACGAGGCACGAGGACCGAAAUUUUAAGGAUGCGGCGCGCGAGCGGGGUGCCCGAGGGGGGGGUCGUGUUGUUUGCCGACCGCCUCGUUCCGCGAGCGCGCUAGCUGCCUCUCUAUUCUCACGUCCGGGGUAUCGUCUUGGUUCGUCGUUUCCCUCACA